GCCCGCCUAGCUCAAUCGGAUAGAGCGUCAGACUCUUAGGGGGGGCAUCUGAAGGCUGCGAGUUCGACCCUCGCGGUGGGCU